rnacentral:tRNA from 1 species
GCUUGAAUAGCUCAGUUUGUAGAGCAAUCGGCUGUUAACCGAUCGGUCGUAGGUUCGAGUCCUACUUCAAGCGCUA